CCGUGCCCAGACAGGCGAAGACGGGCCGGACCGCGGGCCUGAGGGGCAAGGCUGGCCGUGGAGGCGGUGGCAAAGGUCUAUACGGGCAGCCCCUGAGGCUUGACCACCUGGCGCCGGGAGGCCUAGGAAGCCACCAGGGGCCAAGGCCGCCGCCGCCGCCGCCGCCGCCGCGACCCCGCCCUCGCCCGCCUCCCGCCCGGCUUCGGCCCGGGCUUCUGCCGUAUGCGCGGCCGUCACCCGCACUGCCAUCGCGCCCUCCAUGUCGCAACGCGCCGCAGGAAGAUGGCGGAUUUACGACCGUGUCGUCAUAACAACGGGCCGCGCUGAGGGGAGCCGGAGAGAACGACGAGAGGAGGACGACGGGGCGGGGCCAGUGUUGUAGGAGCAUCACCACCAUCUAGUUCCAGAACCUUGUCCGGAAAGGAAAGGAAAGGAAACCUGUCCCCUUAGCAGUCACUCCCGUUCUCCCCUACUCCCAGCCUCUGGCAACCAGUUUCUGUCUGUGUGGCUUUGCCUUUUCUGCACAUUCUCAUGUAAGUGGAAUUACAUA